UACGUAGGGUGCAAGCGUUGUCCGGAAUUAUUGGGCGUAAAGAGCUCGUAGGCGGUUUGUCACGUCUGCUGUGAAAACCCGAGGCUCAACCUCGGGCCUGCAGUGGGUACGGGCAGACUAGAGUGCGGUAGGGGAGAAUGGAAUUCCUGGUGUAGCGGUGGAAUGCGCAGAUAUCAGGAGGAACACCAAUGGCGAAGGCAGUUCCCUGGGCCGUAACUGACGCUGAGGAGCGAAAGCGUGGGGAGCGAACAGG
rnacentral:rRNA from 1 species